rnacentral:misc_RNA from 1 species
CAUACUCGUGCACGCCCGAGUGUGUCUCCUCACAUAAUCAUCCAUCUCUCCCUUUGUGCAUCUCCGCGUGCGCACCCCCCUUGGGAUCAUCUCGUAGGUGGCUCGCGUUUUCUCACAUAAACCCCCCUUUUAAAAGAUGUAUAAUGACCUCAUUUAUGCGCCAACCCGCAAUCAAUACAACUUUCAACAACGGAUCUCUUGGCUCUCGCAUCAAUAAAGAACGCACCUAAAAGCGAUACAUAAUGUGAAUUGCACAAUUCAUUGCAUCAUCGAAUCUUUGACCACACCUUGUGCCCCCUGUUAUUCCGAGGGGGACACCCGUUUGAUUGUCGUGAAAACCUCAACCUCCUUGGUUUCUUCUGGAGACCGAAGCAAGCUUGGACUUUGGAGGCCUUUGCUGGCACCUCUCGCCAGCUCCUCUUAAAUGAAUUAUCUGGGUCCUCUUUGCUGAUCCACGACGUGUGAUAAGAUGUUUCCAUGUCUUGGUUCUGGACUCUGUCACCUUUGGGACCCGCUUCUAACCGUCUUCAACCUUGCGUUGAGACAACGAUCUAGAAUGUCUCCCUUCUCGGGAAGCUCCCUCGACCCCACGAACCCUUGACCUCAAAUCGGGUGAGACUACCCGCUGAACUUAAGCAUAU